GACGAACGCUGGCGGCGUGCUUAACACAUGCAAGUCGAGCGGUAAGGCCCUUUCGGGGGUACACGAGCGGCGAACAGGUGAGUAACACGUGGGUGACCUGCCUUCAGCUCUGGGAUAAGCCUGGGAAACUGGGUCUAAUACCGGAUAUGACCUCAUGACGCAUGUUGUGGGGUGGAAAGCCUUUGUGCGGCUGGGGAUGGGCCCGCGGCCUAUCAGCUUGUUGGUGGGGNGAUGGCCUACCAAGGCGACGACGGGUAGCCGGCCUGAGAGGGCGACCGGCCACACUGGGACUGAGACACGGCCCAGACUCCUACGGGAGGCAGCAGUGGGGAAUCUUGCGCAAUGGGCGGAAGCCUGACGCAGCGACGCCGCGUGAGGGAUGACGGCCUGGUGUAAC
rnacentral:rRNA from 1 species